rnacentral:rRNA from 1 species
UGAGGAAUAUUGGUCAAUGGCCGGGAGGCUGAACCAGCCAAGUCGCGUGAGGGAAGACGGCCCUACGGGUUGUAAACCUCUUUUGUCAGGGAGCAAGGGGCGGGUCGGGACCUGCUGUGAGAGUACUUGAAGAAAAAGCAUCGGCUAACUCCGUGCC